AAAAUUGUUAAGAAGAAAAAGUGAGUGGAAAGACAAUCGUCAAUGGGAAGUUGUGAUCUAUGUUUUUAUCUGUAAAGUGUCACCAAUCUUACCAAAUAAACAAGGAAAUCUCGCCCCCCAGGGCACAUCCGAGUUGGUGGAACAAUCACUUCGCUGGGACGCUGGAAGCAAGGGUGGAGAGUUCGAUUCCUGGAGUUAACACUGGGUGCUAAAAUGGAGGGGAAGUCAUUUGGUUGAACAAACGCCCAGCGAGGAGAGCUCUCUUUGCUGAAGGAGUCCAAAUGAGUUGUGGGAACCUGAGAGCCAACAAGGGCACAUCCUGCGAUUUACCUCCCUGAGCUGCUGAGGGGCCGGAGGUUCAGGGACAAGGAUCUAGUCGGACGCAAGCCCGGACACCUUGUAAAAAAAAAAAAAAAAAAAAAAAACAAGGAAAUCUCAAAGAAAAUUGAUAAUGUGAAAGGAG
rnacentral:lncRNA from 1 species